UACGAAGGGGGCUAGCGUUGCUCGGAAUUACUGGGCGUAAAGCGCACGUAGGCGGAUUGUUAAGUCGGGGGUGAAAUCCUGGAGCUCAACUCCAGAACUGCCUUCGAUACUGGCGAUCUCGAGUUCGGGAGAGGUGAGUGGAAUUCCCAGUGUAGCGGUGAAAUGCGUAGAUAUUGGGAGGAACACCAGUGGCGAAGGCGGCUCACUGGACCGGAACUGACGCUGAGGCGCGAAAGCGUGGGGAGCAAACAGG
rnacentral:rRNA from 1 species